CUUAGAUUAAACUAGCUUUCUUCCACCUUUAUAUACGUUCAUAUUUAGGUUUUUUUUUCUCUGUUCAAAUUCCGCCGCGACAAUUACAGUGGUAUUUAACAGACGUUACUCCGAGGAGAAGUGAUAGAAUUGCAAACUAAAUCUACCCAAUUUUUCUGUUUAUCCUGUGCAUUUGGGUGCCAUCAGUUCCACUAUCUGAUUCUCUUGUGGUAGCAUUGUUCUUAGGAAUCUUGGAGCUUUCUUCAACGGUAGUUUUAUUAACAGAUUAAUAGUUAAGCUUACCUACAUAUUGGAUGUAGUAGGUGUCAUCAUGACCUAAUAAAUCGGGUUAUGAAAGUUGAUAUCAGAGCUCAAAGUUGGCCUACUUUGUUAGUGUAAGAGGAAGUGCAUAGUAGAAUCAUGUGGAGAUGCUUGUAUUCUAUGUUCAAGAGGCUAUAGGGCAUCACCAUCACAAUCCAUUUGAAUCCCAAGUCAAACAACAUAUGCUAGAUAAAUAAUAUUCAAAAUAUAGUUAACAACAUCAUCAACUAGAGCCAAGCUUUUCCUUGCUAUGUUUUGAAGUUUUGGCUGAUAAGAAAGUAGAUUGUUGCCUACAUCGAAACCAAUCACAUGCAUUUUGAAUAUGUUGUACAAGAGUUUUCCAAUUCUGAAGCGCCUGAGACGACUCUGAUGGGCUGCCGAUAAGAACACGUCUUACGAUGAUUUGAUAUUGGGUUGUUUUAGGCUUGCAGCCUCAUGGGAAUGCUUGUGGUUGGAUGUUGUUCUACGAUGAUUUAGUCUCGAUAUUGUUAUCUUCUUCAAAGUCGACUAACUUUUUUGUCACUCUUGCUAGCUAGGGUAAGAGUCAACUGGACACUGGCUAUUUCUAAUUCGAGGAUGAUGAUUGUAGUUUGAGGUUGUUACCUCUAUUUUGAGGCUGAUGUUUAUGGUUCGAGGUCGUAUUCAAUGCUUAAUGGGUCGAGGCUAUUACAUCUAGUAGAGGCUAUACUUGGAUUUUAAGGCCCGUCGUACACCUGAUGAAUCUGGUCCUAGCACCAUCUACGAGUGGUGAUCGGUCAUGCCAUUUUUUGCAGCUUGUGGAUACUAAACUAGGUGGCAUUAUAGCAGGAUUGGUCAUGAGUUAAUGCAAAAAAAUUUCCCUAAGCCGCUCAUAAUUUUGCAAUUACAUCUUGGGAAAAAGGAGGGGUGACCUAAGAUGAACUCUAAUCUAUUUCCAUAAAUUUCACAAGUAAAGAACAAGUUAAGGCCUCACAAAAUGGAAGGCGGAAGUUCAAUCGAUCUUUCAAAGCAUGACUUGAGGUACGUGAUAAUUAUUUAUUUUUGUCGUUUAUGUUAUAUGUGGUCAACUACUUUAUUAGUACUGCAUGCAUGAUUAUUAUUAGGAGAAAAGGAAGGAACAUGAUUUGAAAUGAAAGAUAUUAUCAAUUAUAUGCAAUGAAUGUGUUAACUUGGAUAUAUAAGUAUGAUUGUUGUUCAUUGUUGAUGCGACUGUGUUUUGUGUUUGAUGAUGAGAUCGGGUAGCAUGCGGUAUAUAAUAUUAUUAGAAUGGGUAACACACCGAUAUACUAACAGUGAGAAUGGGUACCACGUUGGUACACUAACAAUUGUAUGUGUGGGUUUCAUGAGAAAAUCUGAUUGUUUUGUUGUAUCGUGAUGGUUCCGUUUAUUGUGCAUGUCAGCUCAAGCGACUAUUUGCGACCUUAAUUGUGUUAACUCAAUUAUCUAAAUCCAAGGGUGAGACAUUUCUUCUGGGCGACAAUAGAUUCCUCUUUAUUUUGAUAGGUCAUUCAUUCGGACUCAAACAUUUUUUAAUAAUGCGAAUUUCAGUUUCUAGGGGGUUACUUUCGCAUUGUUGGACGACUAUGGUUUCUUUACUACAAACUUGGUUUAAUUAUUGAAGACUAUUUACUUGAAAAUCUUUCGAACUGCUUACUUUGAUUGCAUUUUAGACUUUGUGUGAGUAGUUGGUUGAUUCUCCCACCAGAAUUAAUGUGAGUGUCACUCACGGUGGGUCAGAAUCAUGAGAGUUUCCCUCUACCAUUAAAAGUCAAUGUCCUAUUUAAUGUAAUCAAUUGUAAUUUAUAAAUAAUCUUAUAUUACAAGUGUAUAAUGCAAGUAGUUCACAACUAACUUUAACACUUAGAGCAUGUUUGGAUUGACUUAAAAGUUGGCAAAAUAUAUUUUUAAGCUCUUUUUAGCUUUUGGAAUUGUUUGAAAAAUUUUAAAAUAGCUUAAAAUAAGUUUUAAAUGACUUUAAAAAAGUCAAAAAUCCAAAACUAGCACUCCCAUACUUUUUAUUCUUUUACUUAAACGCCAUUCCAGUUUGAUCAAGUAUAUUACUUCUCUACCAGUAAUUUUUUUUAGAUAAUCUCAUAUUUACCCUUAUAAAAUAAAACCCUAACAAUCAAUUCACUUUCCCUCUCCAUUUUUUUCUUUGAGUUGUUGCGCCACACUAUUCGCUCUAAGGCUGGUAUGGUAUGGUAUUUAAAAACUUGUAUACCAUAAUUUCAUUAUUUGUUUUUUAAAACUACUAUACCAUUGUCCUAUCAAUUUAAUUCGGUAUGAUUUAGUAUUUUCAAUUCGAUUUUAUUAUUAUGAAGUAUGGUAAUCGGUAACUACAGUUUGUUCAAUUUCGACUAAUAUAUAUUCGUAUAAUAGAGAAUUAUAACUUCGUCAAUCUAAAAGAAGGUCUCAAUUGUAUCAUACUAACACAUUACACAUGUAGAAAUAUUUAUUCAAUAUAAAGUACAAAAAAUUUCUUUUGUUAAUCAAGUACAUUUCAAAUAUCAAUUAAAAUAGUGUAGUCAAAGUUUCAUCUUCUAAAUAUUUAGCACCCACUAAUACGAGACUUUUUUAAAAAAAGUGACAAUAAGGUUUCAAAAUAAAUUGGUGGUGACAUAAGUCUUAAGUAUUGGGUGAAGGUUAAACAAAUUGCAAAGUGACCCCACGUACAAGGUCAAACAAAUGAAGGCUGAUUUACGUAGAGUUUUUUAGCUCAAUGUAGUGAAGCAAAGUGCAAGAGAGCAAAAAAAGGAGAUAUUGGAGAGUUUAGAAGGUAGCUUUAUAGACUCUUACAACAAAUUAGAGGGUUAUGCUACUGAAUUGAGAAGUUGUAGGGUUUGACAUUGUGAUAGAUUUGUCUAAAGAGACACUAUCUAAUAGUAAGAUAAAAUUUCUUAGGAUGUAUAUCUGUUUCAAGGCAAUGACGUUGUGUUUUAAAUCUGGGUUUGAUGGUACAUUCCUUAAAGGAAAGGCUAAGGGACAAGUAUUGUGUGUUGUUGGUCAAGACAGUGAUAACUUUUUCUACCCUCUAGCUUGGAUUGUGAUAGAUAAAGAGACUAAGAGGACUUGGACAUCAUGUAUGCAACAUUUGCAACAUUCCCUUGACCUUCAAAAUGGUGAAGGACUGACAUUCAUAUCAGAUAUGUAGAAGGUGCUGCUUGAAGCUGUAAGGACAGUCUUACCUAAAGCACAUCAGAGAUAUUGUGCAAGGCAUAUUGAGGCAUAUUGGUGCAGAAGAUGGGGCAAAGGCGAGCUGAAAAAGUUGCUAUGGUGGGCUGGAUGGUCAUCAUUUACAGAGGAGUUUGAGGACCAACUUCAAGAGACCAAGGAAGUUAAUGGAGAGGCUGGACAAGAUUUAAUAGACAAGUAUCCUCCAAAAGCAUGGUGCAGAGCCUAUUUAGAUACAGUCUGCAAAAAUCAGGCUAUGGACAAUAACUUUACUGAAUCAUUCAAUGCAUGGAUACUUGAAGCAAGGUACAAGCCAAUUAUUGGAAUGUUGGAAGACAUUAGGGUCAAAAUAAUGGAGAGGUUGGCAGCAAAAGAGGUUGUUGUGAAGAAGCGGAAAGAUGAUGGGUUUAGUCCCAAAAGUGAGUUAUUGUUUAAUGAGUAUUUGGAGAUUUCAAAGGUUUGUAAGGUGAGUGGAAAUGUGAUAAUGGCUAUGAGGUUACUGAAGGUGCAGAUAGACACAUUGUCAACUUAAGAGAGAAAAAAUGCAUAUGCAGAACAUGGGAUCUGACUGGAAUUCCAUGUCCACAUGUAAUUAAGGUCGCGGAGCACAAAAUAAGGAUAUCAAAAAAAGAAAAUCAUUGGUACUAUAGUAAAGAGGCAGCCUUGGCAAUAUACAAACACAAAUUACAACCUUUUGCAUGCUAUUGAACCACCAGAAUUGGUCAAGCUUGUUGGUAAACCUAAGCGAAUGAGGGAAAGAGAAAAGAAUGAAGUUGUUAAGAGGCAAGGAGUAAAAAGUGAUGACAUGUAGUAAUUGUGGGGAACAAAAUCACAAUGCAAGAGGAUGUAAAAAGGCAAAGCAGGGGAACAACCUACUAAGAAGCAAGGGAAACAACCUGCUAAGGAAGGAAAAGAAUUUGGCAGGGGAAAAAAGAGACAGCCUAGGAGAGGUUUAGUUGAUGAAGAUGAAGAUGAAGCUUCUGAGGAAGACAUCAACUGCACAACCCCACAACCAACACAAGAAAGUCAGUUUGAAUAUGCUUCUUCUAACAGCUAUUUUAGUAACUAAGGAUGAUGAUGAAGACCAUAGGCUAAGGCCAAGAUCAAUCUCAGAAAAAUCUUUUCUAACAAGAUUCAGAAAGAGACAAAACCACAAUAACCAAUUGAGAGUAGAGUAAUAGGCUUGAGAGAUGAUAAAUUUGGUGUUAGUGAACCUACAAAUAUUCCCAUAGCACCAACUGACUUAACUUGAAAUGGACAGGGUGCAGUUACUACAAGUCAACUACGAAAGUUGAGGCCAAGAAGGGGAUGAUGAUAUUGUGUUGGUACUGUUUUGUAUAUGUUGGUGCAGUUUUUGCUACUAUUUGUGUAGGUUGGUGCCUUAAAUGAUAUUAAGGCUAAACUUAUUAUUUUGGUAUGUUUUGUGUAGGCUAGUGCCUUAACUUAUAGUUGUAGUUUUGGUUUCACUUCUACUUUUUGUAUAGGAUGAGCGUAUCAGAUAAAACUAACUAUCGUUUUGCUUAUAUAUGACCAAGUUAAUUUUAUAUA